AUGCGCAUCUCUUUGCCUUGGGACGUCGAUGUCUAUGCUACAAUGGGACGUCGUCGUCCCAGUGAAGCCGAGGAAAUCCCUAACGAGAUGCUACAGGAAAUCCUGAUGAAGCUGCCGACCAAGGACGUGGCCGAGUGCUGCUGCGUCUCCAGGCACUGGCGCAGCGCCCUCGGAGACCCCUCCUUCCGCAAGCUCCACGCAGCCAGCCCUGCCGCGCUCUCGGCAGAGCCCGAGUUCUUGCGCUUAUCCGGUGUGCCAUGCGGGCUCGGCCAGAGCGUCAAGACCAGUGUCUUCAGCUUAUCGUCGGACAAACCCAUGUGCACCAUCGCGAAGCCCGAAGGCCACAGCCUCGCCGACAUCUGCAACGGCCUCCUCUGCUUCGUGGACGGGUGCGACGCUCAUGCACCGGCGCUGGUGUGCAACCCCGCCACCGGCGAGACGCUGGCGCUUCCGGCGGCCCCUCCGCUCAACAACAAUGACCAUGCAUAUUUAUUUGCCUUUGGGUUCAGCCCGCCCACCAACGAGUACAAGCUGUUCCACCUCUCUUCCCCGCUAUGCUCCUACUCCGAAGAGCGGGUGGACGUGGACGUCUACACCUUGGGUGACGUCCGCGGGUGGAAAUGA
rnacentral:rRNA from 1 species